rnacentral:ncRNA from 1 species
CCACCUUUCUUCUUACAACGGAUCGUCCGGCACGUUCCUGCCGGUGAGAGGACUUGUC